rnacentral:rRNA from 1 species
CACGUAGGGCGCAAGCGUUGUCCGGAAUUAUUGGGCGUAAAGAGCUCGUAGGCGGUCUGUUGCGUCCGCUGUGAAAACUCGGGGCUUAACCCCGAGCCUGCAGUGGAUACGGGCAGACUAGAGGUAGGUAGGGGAGAAUGGAAUUCCCGGUGUAGCGGUGAAAUGCGCAGAUAUCGGGAGGAACACCGGUGGCGAAGGCGGUUCUCUGGGCCUUACCUGACGCUGAGGGGCGAAAGCGUGGGGAGCGAACAGG